rnacentral:rRNA from 1 species
AUUGAACGCUGGCAGCAUGCCUUACACAUGCAAGUCGAGCGGCAGCACGGGAGCAAUCCUGGUGGCGAGUGGCGAACGGGUGAGUAAUAUAUCGGAACGUGCCCAGUAGUGGGGGAUAACUGCUCGAAAGAGCAGCUAAUACCGCAUACGACCUGAGGGUGAAAGCGGGGGAUCGCAAGACCUCGCGCUAUUGGAGCGGCCGAUAUCAGAUUAGCUAGUUGGUGAGGUAAGGGCUCACCAAGGCGACGAUCUGUAGCUGGGCUGAGAGGACGACCAGCCACACUGGGACUGAGACAUGGCCCAGACUCCUACGGGAGGCAGCAGUGGGGAAUUUUGGACAAUGGGCGCAAGCCUGAUCCAGCCAUGCCGCGUGCGGGAAGAAGGCCUUCGGGUUGUAAACCGCUUUUGUCAGGGAAGAAACGGCUCCUACUAAUACUGGGGGCUAAUGACGGUACCUGAAGAAUAAGCACCGGCUAACUACGUGCCAGCAGCCGCCGUAA